AUGCCGCUCCAGAUGUGGUCGUUGGAGGGCGCGGCAGAGGUGCUGGGCGUCAACUGCAUCAUCGACUGCCUCGACACAUGCACGCACGAGCGCGGCCACACCAGGACGUUUGCGUGCUGGGUGUGGGUGUGGGAUGUCGCCUUCAUCGUCACCAAGCACACCAUCUGGCGGGCCGCGCGCGGCGCCGGCCGCGUCGAGACCAUGCUUGGCGCCUCUCCCCCAAGCCGCGAGGUUGCUCCACCACCGCGCGUCAGGCAGCACCAGAUGCUCAUCCAUGUCGACCGCGUUGAAGACUGG
rnacentral:rRNA from 1 species